rnacentral:rRNA from 1 species
UGGGGAAUAUUGCACAAUGGGCGCAAGCCUGAUGCAGCCAUGCCGCUUGUAUGAAGAAGGCCUUCGGGUUGUAAAGUACUUUUAGCGGGGAGGAAGGGAGUAAAGUUAAUACCUUUGCUCACGGACGAUACCCGCAGAAGAAGCACCGGCUAACUCCGUGCCAGCAGCCGCGGGAAUAUGGAGGGUGCAAGCGUUCAUCGGAAUUACUGGGGGUAAAGCGCACGCAGGCGGUUUGUUAAGUCAGAUGUGAAAUCCCCGGGCUCAACCUGGGAAUUGCGUCUGAGACUGGCAAGCUUGAGUCUCGUAGAGGGGGGUAGAAUUCCAGGUGUAGCGGUGAAAUGCGUAGAGAUCUGGAGGAAUACCGGUGGCGAAGGCGGCCCCCUGGACAAAAACUGACGCUCAGGUGCGAAAGCGUGGGGAGCAAACAGG